rnacentral:snRNA from 14 species
AGCUUUGCACAGUGACAGUAUCAUAGCCAAUGAUUUUUAUCCGAGGCAUGAUUACUGCUAAUUGAAAAGUAUGGGCAGCAGAAAAGGUCAUCGUGAGGAGACAGUAUCAGAAUUAUAAAAUAGGUUCAAUGCACAGAGAUAGGUUCAAUGUACUCAGAGAUACCUUAAAAACAGGAGACCAAGGGAAAUUUGUUGAAUAGCUUGUAGAUGA